GUGCUCACUUCGGCAGGACAUACCCUAAAAUUGGAACAAUACAGAGAUUAGCAUGGCCCCUGCUCAAGGAUGAUAUGCAAGUUUGUGAAGCGUUCCACAUAUAC